rnacentral:lncRNA from 1 species
GAAUGCUUUCUGCAUGCGGCAAGCAGCGUGGCGGGGAUGUAUUUAUAUAUAUAUAGGUUUCAGUACCCGGACUUUGGACUUGUAGUUGGGGUAAGGAGGUAAUUAAUGGUCUAGAAUGCCCUUGUGAUUUGUUUGCGUUUGCCCAUAUAUAUCCAUUCAGCACCAGUGUGGUAAUUUUGUAUGGUAGGUGAAGGUGAUUAAUUCCUUAAUGCGCAUGGCAGUAACGGCUAAGAAUGUAAUUUUAGGCGAAAGAUAAGGAUUUCUGGGACAGGUACUUUUUCUCUUUCCUUUUUGAUUUUGAUUCUUCCAUGUAUAAAAGAAGGCAUGAUAAUAGCAUCUAUGCUAUUUUGAAGUGUCAAAAUAUUAAUAUGAUAUUUUAAAUAUAGUAUAUAUUUCAAAGUAAAAUUAAAAGCCAUUAAUUUGAAGAGUCACUUGUGUAUUGAAGAGGAAGAAGAAAUUAAGUAGCAC